rnacentral:rRNA from 1 species
AUUGAACGCUGGCGGCAUGCCUUACACAUGCAAGUCGAACGGCAGCACGGGAGCAAUCCUGGUGGCGAGUGGCGAACGGGUGAGUAAAGUAUCGGAACGUGCCCAGUCGUGGGGGAUAACGUAGCGAAAGUUACGCUAAUACCGCAUACGCUCGAUGGAUGAAAGCGGGGGAUCGCAAGACCUCGCGCGAUAGGUGCGGCAGAUAUCAGAGUAGGUAGUCGGUGGGGUAAAGGCUCACCAAGCCGACGAUCUGUAGCUGGUCUGAGGGGACGACCAGCCACACUGGGACUGAGACACGGCCCAGACUCCUACGGGAGGCAGCAGUGGGGAAUUUUGGACAAUGGGCGCAAGCCUGAUCCAGCCAUGCCGCGUGCAGGAUGAAGGCCUUCGGGUUGUAAACUGCUUUUGUACGGAACGAAAAGGUUUGACUUAAUACGUUGGACUCAUGACGGUACCGUAAGAAUAAGCACCGGCUAACUGCGUGCCAGCAGCCGCGGUAA